rnacentral:tRNA from 1 species
AUUUAAAUAGUUUAAUAAAAAUAUUGAUUUGUGGUGUCAAAGAUAUGAUAAGUCAUUUUAAAUU